CCUACGGGAGGCAGCAGUGGGGGAUAUUGCACAAUGGGGGAAACCCUGAUGCAGCGACGCCGCGUGGGCGAAGAAGUAGUUCGGUAUGUAAAGCCCUAUCAGCAGGGAAGAAGAAAUGACGGGACCGGAGUAAGAAGCACCGGCUAAAGACGUGCCAGCAGCCGCGGUAAUACGGAUGGUGCAAGCGGUAUCCGGAUUUACUGGGUGGAAAGGGAGCGCAGGCGGCACGGCAAGCCUGAUGUGAAAGCCCGCGGCCCAACCGCGGGACUGCUUUGGGAACUACCGGGCUGGAGUGCCGGAGAGGUCGGCGGAUUUCCUCGUGUAGCGGUGCCCUGCGUAGAUAUUCGGCGGACCCCCAGUGGCGAAGGCGGCCUACUGGACGGUGACUGACGCUGCGGCUCGACAGCGUGGGGAGCAACCCGGAUUAGCUCCCCUGGUAGUC
rnacentral:rRNA from 1 species